GUAGCACAGAGGAGCUUGCUCCUUGGGUGACGAGUGGCGGACGGGUGAGUAAUGUCUGGGAAACUGCCCGAUGGAGGGGGAUAACUACUGGAAACGGUAGCUAAUACCGCAUAACGUCGCAAGACCAAAGAGGGGGACCUUCGGGCCUCUUGCCAUCGGAUGUGCCCAGAUGGGAUUAGCUAGUAGGUGGGGUAACGGCUCACCUAGGCGACGAUCCCUAGCUGGUCUGAGAGGAUGACCAGCCACACUGGAACUGAGACACGGUCCAGACUCCUACGGGAGGCAGCAGUGGGGAAUAUUGCACAAUGGGCGCAAGCCUGAUGCAGCCAUGCCGCGUGUAUGAAGAAGGCCUUCGGGUUGUAAAGUACUUUCAGCGAGGAGGAAGGCGUUGUGGUUAAUAACCGCAACGAUUGACGUUACUCG
rnacentral:rRNA from 1 species